CAGCCGCAACCCAGGGGACCCGUACACACUCUGGGGCAGCGCUCUGGGGCGUCACCCCUCCGCGGCCAACAACUGAAUAAACACGCCAGAGCGCUGCGCUCCGUCAGGGCCCGCGCCCAGAG
rfam:Otolemur garnettii contig002375, whole genome shotgun sequence.